ACAUGAAAAUACUGGCUAUAAAAGACAGCACCCAGAGCCCCCACAGAGCCCCCAGGACGAGGGCACUGUCUAUGCAGUGCUCAACCUCCCCAGCUCAUCCUCACCCAGAAUGCCUUGCGGCCCUCCUCUCCAUGCCAGCACCCAGGAGGAGGUGACCCUGUACUCGGUCCUAAAGACCAGAUGAGUGAGCCUCAAGAGUCAUCCACGUCCAAUAGGGAAGUUCCCAGCUCCCAGGAAUCAAGGCCAGGCCAACAACUCACAAGUCAGCGAGUGUGAAGCCCGCAUAGGAAAUGAAGACCAUGUGCUCCGUCCGGUUCCUGCUCAACUCCCUACCCUUCUCUGCCAAAAUAAAACACUCUCAGGAUUUGGCCAAGUGACUUCUCUAUGGGGAAACAGGAAGGACCUUCUGUGUCUGUUCCUUACUGAAAAUGAGCUCAGCAUCAGUAAAUGCAUAACAUGUGA